UUGAACGCUGGCGGCAGGCCUAACACAUGCAAGUCGAGCGGUAACACAGAGAGCUUGCUCUCGGGUGACGAGCGGCGGACGGGUGAGUAAUGUCUGGGAAACUGCCUGAUGGAGGGGGAUAACUACUGGAAACGGUAGCUAAUACCGCAUAACGUCGCAAGACCAAAGUGGGGGACCUUCGGGCCUCAUGCCAUCAGAUGUGCCCAGAUGGGAUUAGCUAGUAGGUGGGGUAACGGCUCACCUAGGCGACGAUCCCUAGCUGGUCUGAGAGGAUGACCAGCCACACUGGAACUGAGACACGGUCCAGACUCCUACGGGAGGCAGCAGUGGGGAAUAUUGCACAAUGGGCGCAAGCCUGAUGCAGCCAUGCCGCGUGUAUGAAGAAGGCCUUCGGGUUGUAAAGUACUUUCAGCGGGGAGGAAGGGAGUAAAGUUAAUACCUUUGCUCAUUGACGUUACCCGCAGAAGAAGCACCGGCUAACUCCGUGCCAGCAGCCGCGGUAAUACGGAGGGUGCAAGCGUUAAUCGGAAUUACUGGGCGUAAAGCGCACGCAGGCGGUCUGUCAAGUCGGAUGUGAAAUCCCCGGGCUCAACCUGGGAACUGCAUUCGAAACUGGCAGGCUAGAGUCUUGUAGAGGGGGGUAGAAUUCCAGGUGUAGCGGUGAAAUGCGUAGAGAUCUGGAGGAAUACCGGUGGCGAAGGCGGCCCCCUGGACAAAGACUGACGCUCAGGUGCGAAAGCGUGGGGAGCAAACAGGAUUAGAUACCCUGGUAGUCCACGCCGUAAACGAUGUCGAUUUGGAGGUUGUGCCCUUGAGGCGUGGCUUCCGGAGCUAACGCGUUAAAUCGACCGCCUGGGGAGUACGGCCGCAAGGUUAAAACUCAAAUGAAUUGACGGGGGCCCGCACAAGCGGUGGAGCAUGUGGUUUAAUUCGAUGCAACGCGAAGAACCUUACCUGGUCUUGACAUCCACAGAACUUUCCAGAGAUGGAUUGGUGCCUUCGGGAACUGUGAGACAGGUGCUGCAUGGCUGUCGUCAGCUCGUGUUGUGAAAUGUUGGGUUAAGUCCCGCAACGAGCGCAACCCUUAUCCUUUGUUGCCAGCGGUCCGGCCGGGAACUCAAAGGAGACUGCCAGUGAUAAACUGGAGGAAGGUGGGGAUGACGUCAAGUCAUCAUGGCCCUUACGACCAGGGCUACACACGUGCUACAAUGGCGCAUACAAAGAGAAGCGACCUCGCGAGAGCAAGCGGACCUCAUAAAGUGCGUCGUAGUCCGGAUUGGAGUCUGCAACUCGACUCCAUGAAGUCGGAAUCGCUAGUAAUCGUAGAUCAGAAUGCUACGGUGAAUACGUUCCCGGGCCUUGUACACACCGCCCGUCACACCAUGGGAGUGGGUUGCAAAAGAAGUAGGUAGCUUAACCUUCGGGAGGGCGCUUACCACUUUGUGAUUCAUGACUGGGGUG
rnacentral:rRNA from 1 species